GGGCCGUUAGCUUAGUUGGUAGAGCGCUUCGUUUGCAACGAAGAGGUCAGCGGUUCGAAUCCGCUACGGUCCA
rnacentral:tRNA from 1 species